AACAGGUAUCGUAAACUGAAAAAGGUUCCCCUUGACGACAAAGUCCCUACAUGUAUGGGCUAACAGUGCAUUGGCCUUAAUGGGUUUAAGGAAAGGUUGCCAUUUAUUUUCCAGUGGAAGCCCUAACAGCUAAGGCUAGUUUUUGCACCUAUAAGCUGUCAGGUUCUGUCACUUCUCUAAGCACCAUGUAAUCAAAUGGUUAAUAAUAAUUCUAAGCACUAAGUGCUUUUCUGAAUCUUGAUGUGCAUUCAGCUAAUAAACACUCUUAUACUGCUA